GACGAACGCUGGCGGCGUGCUUAACACAUGCAAGUCGAACGGACAGGCCCCUUUGGGGGUCCUCGAGUGGCGAACGGGUGAGUAACACGUGAGUAACCUGCCCUUGACUUCGGGAUAACUUCAGGAAACUGGGGCUAAUCCCGGAUAGGAAUCCUUGCUGCAUUUUGGGGGGUGGAAAGCUUCGGCGGUUUUGUAUGUACGCGCGGCGUAUCCGCUUGUUGGUGGGGUAGUGGCUUACCAAGGCUUUGACGGGUAGCCGGCCUGAGAGGGCGACCGGCCACAUUGAGACUGAGAUACGGCCCAGACUCCUACGGGAGGCAGCAGUGGGGAAGAGUGCACAAGGGGCGGAAGCCUGAUGCAGCAACGCCGCGGGCGGGAUGACGGCCUUCGGGUUGGGAUCCGCUUACAGCAGGGGCGAAGCUUGUGGUGACGGUACCUGCAGAAGAAGCACCGGCUAACUACGUG
rnacentral:rRNA from 1 species